ACGUAGGGUGCAAGCGUUGUCCGGAAUUAUUGGGCGUAAAGAGCUCGUAGGCGGUUCGUCGCGUCGGCUGUGAAAACCCGGAGCUCAACUCCGGGCCUGCAGUCGAUACGGGCGGACUGGAGUUCGGCAGGGGAGACUGGAAUUCCUGGUGUAGCGGUGAAAUGCGCAGAUAUCAGGAGGAACAUCAGUGGCGAAGGCGGCCAUCUGGGACAACACUGACGCUGAAGCACGAAAGCGUGGGGAGCAAACAGGA
rnacentral:rRNA from 1 species